GAUGAACGCUAGCGGCAGGCCUAAUACAUGCAAGUCGAACGGUAAGGCCCUUUCGGGGGUACACGAGUGGCGGACGGGUGCGUAACGCGUAUGCAACAUACCUUCCAGCGGGGGAUAUGCCAGGGAAACUUGGUGCAACACCCCAUAGUAUUCCGGGAUCGCAUGGUCCUGGGAUUAAAUCUCCGGAGCUGGAAGAUUGGCAUGCGUGACAUUAGCUAGUUGGCGGGGUAACGGCCCACCAAGGCGACGAUGUCUAGCUGGUCUGAGAGGAUGAUCAGCCACACUGGGACUGAGACACGGCCCAGACUCCUACGGGAGGCAGCAGUAGGGAAUAUUGGACAAGUGGGGGCAACCCUGAUCCAGCCAUGCCGCGUGAGGGAAGAAGGUCCUCUGGAUUGUAAACCUUCUUUUGGCGGGGGACAAACCUGCACUAUACGUGCAGCUGAGGGUACCCGCAGAAUAAGCACCGGCUAACUCCGUG
rnacentral:rRNA from 1 species